rnacentral:rRNA from 1 species
CAGAGACUGCAAGCGUUAUUCGGAUUCACUGGGCGUAAAGGGUGCGCAGGCGGUCGUGUGUGUCAAAUGUGAAAUCCCGGAGCUUAACUCCGGAACUGCGUCUGAAACUACACGACUAGAGCAUUGGAGAGGGAAGUGGAAUUCAUGGUGUAGCAGUGAAAUGCGUAGAUAUCAUGAGGAACACCAGAGGCGAAGGCGACUUCCUGGACAAUUGCUGACGCUCAGGCACGAAAGCAUGGGGAGCAAAAGGGAUUAGAUACCCCUGUAGUCCAUGCCCUAAACGGUGCACACUAGGUCUUGGAGGAUUCGACCCCUUCAGGGCCCAAGCUAACGCGUUAAGUGUGCCGCCUGAGGACUACGGUCGCAAGACUA